CUAAAAGUCUACUGUUAAUUUCGCUUCACGCCCUAUCAGUCAUUCCAGCUCACUAAAUAUCGGGCAAAAACAUUUGUCAUCAAAAUAUAACCGACACUUUUGUGCUCGUUGAUUUCUUGAUCAACAUAUUUCUUCAUGGGUGGGUGCGAGCCGACUUGAUAACAACUUCCAAGAGAGAGAUGAGUCGAGUGCCACGACGUCUGAUGCCAGUAACUUCCUCCUCACUCCAUCCACGUUACAGAAGACGUCGCACCAAACAUGGCAAUGGAUCACUCAUUAUCUGCUAUGAAAAUGAUGGCACUCGCAUGGAUCCUCCAGACGUCGAAAUAACACUUAAAACACUUGCAGGGAAUCCAAUGAAGUACUUCUACGACGUGUGUCAGUUGUUGACGAACGCAGGACGCAUUUCCAAUGCAACUUUCCCCCACCCCGCAAGCAACAGAUGGCAGGAGCGCUUCGUGCAAACUCGACCACCAACAUCCAGUGGCUUUUCAGCCCCUGUUGGAGGUGAUAUCUAUUCAAAGAAGUUGCAGCGUGUGGAAGAACACAGAACCAAACACCAUACGAUUGUAUUUUUUUUUGCUGCGCACCGAAAUAAUCCCCAUUCGCAACACACAGGACCAUCAAAAAAAAAAGUCGUGAUAACUACCCUGUUACCUAAAAUCACAAU